AUCACACUGGCAAGUUCUUUGUCAUCUGGGACCUCACUGGUUGACCGGAACUGGCUGAUAAAUGAUGAAAAGCAGCUUGGCAAUCAAUUCCACCAGCUCCCUUCAUGCUCUCAGGAGACUGAGUACUUUGAGGGUAACUGGUCUAUUAAGUACAGAAAUAAAGAAGGCAUUGAGAACCUCAACCUUUUCAUUGUACUCAGUGAUAACGUUCCCUGCCACAUCUAAUUAAGCUGAUGCGACAUAGUGAGAUAUUUGAAGGUGCACCUCAUUCUGCAACUAACUUAUGAAUGCAAUCAGUAAUGCAAGCUGAUGAGGAGGAACUGAAGAGCUCUAGAAGCAAAGGAGUGAACAGCAGGUGAACAGGGCAGCACAUCCCACUGCACAGCAUGUCCUCUCCCUGGGCAUGUCUGCGAGCGCCUUGGACAGUGGUCCCAGCACUGGAAGGAUGGAAGUUGUGUCGCGCUGUGACAUGCAAGAUGAAUGACAAGCACUGAGCUGGAAGCAGCAGGUCUUCCAUUAGUGGAUACGUUGCUUCCGACUCAUGAUGGAUGUCUUCAAGCUAUAAAUCAAAAUGGUACAGAAAAAAAGCUGAGGAAGGAUAAUUUACAAGAUCGUAUUAGGAAACAGAACCAAGGGAUGUGUUAAAUUAAGUAUCAGCAAACAAAUGUAUCAAGGCUCGGUCAGCUAUUUGGCAUCUCUUUUCUCUCACCAUGAGGUAAAUGACUAGAUAGUGAUAAAAGACUUUAAUGAAGUACUCUCUAAGAUAACUUUGCUAGUGUAGAAAGAGAGGAGAAAGGGCCAAAUUCUUCAGUGUUUAAAUUUAGUCUAAUGUUAAACAGAUGACCGUAAUGUAGAAUUUGACUGAACUUCUAGAAUAUUAGAUAUCAAAUGAUGAUAGUUAACUUUUGUGUGAUAUGUCCAUUUUAAUUAUAAAGCAAAUUCUUUAGGAAGUAGCUGCAGAAAUUGUUUCAGUAUGACUAUCAAAUUUCCUUAUGAGGGAAGCCCUAAUUUUCAGGGUUUGAGCAUGAAUACAAUUGAUAAUAGCACUGAAGAAAUUACAGUAGCUACCUUCAGAGGAUAAUGUGUUCUUCAAGCACCAACAAGACAGGCUGCUUCUGAGAGGUUAAGGACCUAGGCUUCCAUUUGCUAUUGAGGAAAUUUAGGGGUAAGUCAUAUCCAUUCAAUCAAUGGAUACCAAUAUGUGGAAAAACUUUCUGAAGUAGGUUUUAUUUGGGAAAAGGAUUCACCAUAAGAAGUAGUUACAGCUAGGCAAAUUCACACUGGAAUUAACUGACAACAUUUUAACAGUGAAAAUAACUGAGUACUGGGUGCAAGGAGUAAAGGGUGGAUGGGAAGUAUGUCUUUCCUUACUGUCUCUAGUUCAACUUCUAAGAUUAUACUUAGGUCAAAUAAAAUUUUAUAGUAUGUGCAUUCUAAGUGAAACAUAUGUAGACUACUUUGAAAAUAAUGCCACUUAUUUCCAUGGAAACUACAAAGAUACAAAGAGCAUAAUAACCCUAGUUGAAAAAUUCUCAGCUACGAAACUUUUCAACACGCUCACCACCAUUAGUCCAUUUGUGUGGUUGAGCUGAUCAAGAUGUUCUUCCUUUCAUGGCAUGACAACUGUGCAUAGCCAAGAAAAAAAGUGGCUUGUCUUGCAUAUUGCUGUUGCCACUGCUGAAAUGUGCCACUCAUCACUUCACUGUGCUGAUGUCUACUGCUACAUCGCCAUAAAUAUUCAGCAAGUGGCAAUGAAUGUCAACAUGAGCAUUUCUUUCAGCAAGAAAGAAUUCAAUACCAUACCUUUCUACUCACUUCCAUGUCAGACACUAUUUUGUCAGACUGCCCUUCUGCUGCCAUCUGUUGCAUAGCAACUAAAUGUAACCAAAUAUUGAUGGGGUGGUUCAAACUUUACUGCCCUAUAAUCAAUGUCCAUUUCUGACACUGUGGGACCAAAUAAUAAAAUAGGAAUCAUUAAUUUCGGAGCAGUCCUUGAAAAAUCCUGAGAUAUAAAGGAAAUCGUAGCAGACAAUUCAACAGCAUUAUCUGGCCCUAAACUCUGUAUCAGGUCUUAAAGUCUAUGAAUUCUGAAUUGAUCACAACUAUUUUUGUGUUCAUUAACUUUUCCUGUACCUUCACAGAAAUCUCCAAUGGAUUAUGUAACAUUUCUUCCUUCCUUGAAACUCAGAAUCAGUAUGGGCCUGCUGUUCAGACUCUGGUCCUCUAGUCCUAAGUGCAGAAUCAAGCUCUUGAUCUUGUUGAACUCUAUGCUGCUUGACGACUGCCCUGCUGUCUAGGCUGUCAAGAUUCUCUGCAAUAUCUUCACAGUUAAAACAAACUUUGCAAACUAAUGCUUUCAUUGUUAAAAAUAACCUAGCGUAUGCUCCUGCCUCAGACAAAGAAUGGUGGAAAAACUGCAGAAGUCCAGGAGAACCAUCCCAUGUGAAUUAGAUUCAUGUAGUUUUGAGGUAGGGAAACAAAGAAUUGGGCGCUAUGGUGUGGACUCAAUCUUGUGAAUGGUCAUUACGAGUUCUCAACUGGAGCAUCCAAGGGCUGGAUACCUCUAAAAGUUUGUAAUAACUGCUCUUAUGGUUUCUCUGAGGGAUUUUAGAAUGUUUUGCAGAACUUCUUGCUUGCCUUUUAGUAUGAUAAAGCUGCAAGGAGACUGUGAACGGUUCCUAUUAUCAAAUUGUAUAGUGUGCUUAUUAUAGUAAUGGAAAUAGCUCUGGAAAUGCACUCAGCAGUGGAGUAUAAAUGACUGUGUGAGAAUGAGUUAAUCAGCUGUCUUUGUUAAAUGUUUUUCCGUGUGUGGGAGGCCUUGGCAGUUAAUGCACUUUAUUCUGAUUUGCAGCUACUGUCAUCAUUGUUGUGUGUGAUUGAUAUGUCUGCCUUCAGAGAUUUAGAAUUUGACACUGACACUAAUAAACAGU